CCUACGGGCGGCUGCAGUGAGGAAUAUUGGUCAAUGGACGAGAGUCUGAACCAGCCAAGUAGCGUGAAGGAUGACUGCCCUACGGGUUGUAAACUUCUUUUAUAUGGGAAUAAAACAGGGUAUGCAUACCCUCUUGUAUGUACAAUAUCAAUAAGGAUCGGCUAACUCCGUGCCAGCAGCCGCGGUAAUAUGGAGGGUCCGCGCGUUAUCCGGAUUUAUUGGGUUUAAAGGGAGCGUAGGUGGCUUGUUAAGUCAGUUGUGAAAGUUUGCGGCUCAACCGUAGAAUUGCAGUUGAAACUGGCAGUCUUGAGUGCAGUAGGGGUUGGCGGAAUUCGUGGUGUAGCGGUGAAAUGCUUAGAUAUCACGAAGAACUCCGAUUGCGAAGGCAGCUCACUGGACUGCAACUGACGCUGAGGCUCGAAAGUGUGGGUAUCAAACAGGAUUAGAUACCCUGGUAGUC
rnacentral:rRNA from 1 species